CAGUCGCCGCGGUAAUACGUAGGUGGCAAGCGUUGUCCGGAAUUAUUGGGCGUAAAGGGCUCGCAGGCGGUUUCUUAAGUCUGAUGUGAAAGCCCCCGGCUCAACCGGGGAGGGUCAUUGGAAACUGGGAAACUUGAGUGCAGAAGAGGAGAGUGGAAUUCCACGUGUAGCGGUGAAAUGCGUAGAGAUGUGGAGGAACACCAGUGGCGAAGGCGACUCUCUGGUCUGUCACUGACGCUGAGGCUCGAAAGCGUGGGUAGCGAACAGGAUUAGAUACCCCGGUAGUCCCUGUCUCUUAUAC
rnacentral:rRNA from 1 species